UACGUAGGGUCCGAGCGUUGUCCGGAAUUACUGGGCGUAAAGAGCUCGUAGGUGGUUUGUCGCGUUGUUCGUGAAAACUCACAGCUCAACUGUGGGCGUGCGGGCGAUACGGGCAGACUUGAGUACUGCAGGGGAGACUGGAAUUCCUGGUGUAGCGGUGGAAUGCGCAGAUAUCAGGAGGAACACCGGUGGCGAAGGCGGGUCUCUGGGCAGUAACUGACGCUGAGGAGCGAAAGCUAGGGGAGCAAACGGG
rnacentral:rRNA from 1 species